rnacentral:rRNA from 1 species
GUACACUCCUACGGGAGGCAGCAGUGGGGAAUUUUGGACAAUGGGCGAAAGCCUGAUCAAGCAAUGCCGCGUGAGUGAAGAAGGCCUUCGGGUUGUAAAGCUCUUUUGUCAGGGAAGAAACGGUGAAAGCUAAUAUCUUUUGCUAAUGACGGUACAUGAAGAAUAAGCACCGGCUAACUACGUGCCAGCAGCCGCGGUAAUACGUAGGGUGCAAGCGGUAAUCGGAAUUACUGGGCGUAAAGCGUGCGCAGGCGGUUUUGUAAGUCUGAUGUGAAAUCCCCGGGCUCAACCUGGGAAUUGCAUUGGAGACUGCAAGGCUAGAAUCUGGCAGAGGGGGGUAGAAUUCCACGUGUAGCAGUGAAAUGCGUAGAUAUGUGGAGGAACACCGAUGGCGAAGGCAGCCCCCUGGGUCAAGAUUGACGCUCAUGCACGAAAGCGUGGGGAGCAAACAGGAGUAGAAACCCUAGUAGUCCCAUG